rnacentral:rRNA from 1 species
UAAUACGGAGGGUGCAAGCGUUAAUCGGAAUUACUGGGCGUAAAGCGCACGCAGGCGGUCUGUCAAGUCAGAUGUGAAAUCCCCGGGCUCAACCUGGGAACUGCAUUUGAAACUGGCAAGCUAGAGUCUCGUAGAGGGGGGUAGAAUUCCAGGUGUAGCGGUGAAAUGCGUAGAGAUCUGGAGGAAUACCGGUGGCGAAGGCGGCCCCCUGGACGAAGACUGACGCUCAGGUGCGAAAGCGUGGGGAGCAAACAGGAUUAGAUACCCUGGUAGUCCACGCUGUAAACGAUGUCGAUUUGGAGGUUGUGCCCUUGAGGCGUGGCUUCCGGAGCUAACGCGUUAAAUCGACCGCCUGGGGAGUACGGCCGCAAGGUU